GUGCUUGCUUUGGCAGCACAUAUACUAAAAUUGGAACAAUACAGAGAAGAUUUGCAUGGCCUCUGCACAAGGAUGACCUGCAAAUUUUUGAGCUGUUCCACAUUAAA
ensembl:snRNA U6 U6 spliceosomal RNA